CACANACCGCCCGUCGCUUCAUCGAAGUUGGUUUUAGGCGAGGUGGUGCGAUAUUGGCAUUAUCGAACCUGAGAUCAGCAACGAGGGAG
rnacentral:rRNA from 1 species